GUGUUUGUAGUGAUGCUGGUGUAAAGAAACCUGAGCUGCCUGUUGUAUAAGAGGAUAGCACACGCCAUUAUGAACAGAGAUUCUGCAAUCACAAAAUCACUGCCUUCACAUAGCUUAUAUUCUUGUGGAAGUAAGCAGACAAUGACAAACGAAUUGGAAGAGUAAGGGAAAAGUGUUAAUUUUAAAUAGGAUCGUCAAAGAAAGCCUCACCCCAAAGAUGGCAACAGUGCUCAAAGGGAAGGAAGAUAAUUAAAAUGGAAGACAGAGCCAUCAAAAACCAUGUGGAGCAAAGUCACUACAUGAGCCUAGACUGAAAGAAUGUACACAGGCAGAUAUAAAUGCCUAUUUCAUUUAACAUAAUUACUUAGGAUCUCCUUGUUAUAAAACCUUGGCUUUUGGUCAAAUAACACAGACCAGUAAGAAAUGAGGUUGGAAGAUGGGAAUAUUUAGGAGCAGUAGGAAUGGCUCUCCUGACACCAGUUCUUGAACUAUAAAUUUGUUUGGAUUCCCAGAGGUUUUUACACUCUACUAACAUUUAUGAUUUGUGAGAGAUACCCGUUCCCUGAGGGGCAUGCAUCAUGCACAGGAAAACCACAGGAUCUGCGAAAUGCAAGAUGACCCAACUUCCAACAGUGUUAAUCAAUGGAGUAGUCAUGAAUUACUAUGUACUCAAUUAAACUUUAUUGCAAAAA